rnacentral:rRNA from 1 species
CCAGCAGCCGCGGUAAUUCCAGCUCCAAUAGCGUAUAUUAAAGUUGUUGCAGUUAAAAAGCUCGUAGUUGAACUUCUGGGCGGGCCGGCGGUCCUCCCUGUUGGGAGCGUACUGGCCGUGCCUGCUCAUCCUUGCGGCGAAGGCGUGGGGCAACCCGCGUUCGGACCCGCAUCUUUUACUGUGAAAAAAUUAGAGUGUUUAAAGCAGGCGUGACGCUUGAAUACAUUAGCAUGGAAUAAUGAGAUAGGACUUUGGUGCUAUUUUGUUGGUUGCGUACCGAAGUAAUGAUUAACAGGAACGGUUGGGGGUGUUUAUACUAUCAUGUUAGUGGUGAAAUACUUUGA